rnacentral:lncRNA from 1 species
GCCGCCUCGUCCUCGCAAGGAUAUCGUGGUCCCCAUGUUUCCGGUAUCUAUCGGCGUCAUCCAUACCAUUUCCACCAAAUUAAACAUUUAACCUCUCGUAAUGACGGUGUUUUGGGUCCCAUAUUUUAUUGUCCAAAGUACCCAAAAAAAUUUGCUGACGCACAUUCCAGAAACGCACCAAACCUUCAACUCCAUUAGCUUUCGGACAGAU